AAAGUCGUAACAAGGUUUCCGUAGGUGAACCUGCGGAAGGAUCAUUACUGAAGUUGAUGUAUAGCUUUGAAAAAUCCCACAAGGACGCUUCAAAGUCUAUAUUUUAUCUUUCAUCCUAUCCACUGUGAAUUUUUAUUCAACUAUAAAAUCGGACGGCAAACAUUGUUUUGCUGGUCGAGGACGAUCUUAACCGAUCGGACGAAUUACAACCAUUUUUAUAUGCACAAUGAAGAGAAUGCAAAGAUUAUUUAAAAAAUAAUAAAAAACUUUCAGUGACGGAUCUCUUGGCUCUC
rnacentral:misc_RNA from 1 species